rnacentral:rRNA from 1 species
GACGAACGCUGGCGGCGUGCUUAACACAUGCAAGUCGAACGGUGACGCACCUUCGGGUGCUGAUCAGUGGCGAACGGGUGAGUAACACGUGGGCAACCUGCCCCUGACUCUGGGAUAACCCCUCGAAAGAGGAGCUAAUACCGGAUACCACCUCCCGCGGCAUCGCGGGCGGUUGAAAGUAUUUCGGUCAGGGAUGGGCCCGCGGCCUAUCAGCUAGUUGGUGGGGUAGUGGCCUACCAAGGCGACGACGGGUAGCCGGCCUGAGAGGGCGACCGGCCACACUGGGACUGAGACACGGCCCAGACUCCUACGGGAGGCAGCAGUGGGAAAUAUUGCGCAAUGGGCGAAAGCCUGACGCAGCAACGCCGCGUGAGGGAUGACGGCCUUCGGGUUGUAAACCUCUUUCAGCGGGGACGAAGCGCAAGUGACUGUACCCGCAGAAGAAGCGCCGGCUAACUACGUGCCAGCAGCCGCAGUAAAAC